CCGGUUGAUCCCGCCUGCUUGUCUCAAAGAUUAUGCCAUGCAUGUCUAAGUACACACGAAAUAAAAGUGAAACUGCAAAAGGCUCAUCAUAUAAGUUAUGGUUCCUUAGAUCGUUAACAGUUACUUGGAUAACUGUGGUAAUUCUAGAGCUAAUAUAUUCAAUAUAAACAUGGACCAAUGGAACGUGUGCUUUUAUUAGGCUAAAACCAAGCGACCUUUUUGAUCGUAUAUGGGUUUAAGUCUAGAUAACUUGCAGAUCUUAUGGUCUUGUACCGACGACAGAUCUUUCAAAUGUCUGCCCUAUCAACUUUUGAUGGCAGUAUUUAGGACUACCAACGGGUAACGGGGAAUCAGGCGCGUAAAUUACCCACUCCCAGCUCGGGGAGGUAGUGACGAAAAAUUACAAUACAGUACUCAUAUACGAGGCCCUGUAAUUGGAAUGAGUACACUUUAAAUCCUUUAACAAGGACCUAUUGGAGGGCAAGUCUGGUGCCAGCAGCCGCGGUAACUCCAGCUCCAAUAGCGUAUAUUAAAGUUUUUGCGGUUACAACGUUCGUAGUUGAACUUGUGCUUCAUACGGGUAGUACAACUAUAAUUGUAGUUUGUGCUAUACCUUAUGUAUGUAAGCGUAUUACCGGUGGAGUUCUUAUAUGUAAUUGUAAUACUUGUACUCUUUGCAUAUUUCUCCUAUUUAAACCUGCUUCAAUGCUCUUCAUCGAGUGUUGUCGUGGGCCGAUACAAUUGCUUUGAACAAGUAAGAGUGCUUAAAGCAGGCUCCAAAUGCUUGAAUAUUUUGUGCAUAUUUUGAAUCGUUUUCUUUAUUUGGGGAAAAAUGAAUAAUGACCAUCGUCAAAGCUUCUG
rnacentral:ncRNA from 1 species